CUUGACCUCGGAUCAGGUAGGGAUACCCGCUGAACUUAAGCAUAUCAAUAAGCGGAGGAAAAGAAACCAACAGGGAUUGCCCUAGUAACGGCGAGUGAAGCGGCAACAGCUCAAAUUUGAAAUCUGGCGUCUUCGGCGUCCGAGUUGUAAUUUGCAGAGGGCGCUUUGGCAUUGGCAGCGGUCCAAGUUCCUUGGAACAGGACGU
rnacentral:rRNA from 1 species